rnacentral:lncRNA from 1 species
UUUUAUUUUAUAGUUCUGAAGUUUUAGUCCAUAAAUCUUUUGAACUUGAGGUUUUAAGUUGGAGGAGCCAUGCGGUUAGAGGUGGGUGGGAGAGUGCCAAGUUUAUUUUUCACAGGCGUUCACAGGGCCUGGACCCUUCAGCCCCUUCUUCUCUCUCUUUAUAUGCUACGGCUUGCACUGAAUUAUUUAUCUUCGUAUUCAUAGAAUAUCUCCAUAUUCAUAGAAUAUUUGGGUUCAGAAUGGGCCUGGAAAUGGCAGUGCUCAGCCCAAGAAUAGAGAUCGUAAUGGGAAAGUUUCUGUUUAAAUAACGAGAGCUGCUGGUCUGGGGUGGAGGCCGGUAAAACACCGAGGUGAAUGAGGCUCUGGCUGUGGUCCUCAACAGAAGUUAAAGCCCUGUCCCUCCUCCCAAAACAGGCCUGGAGGUGGAGCUCAAUGCUCAAGGUGGUGCUUGCCUAGGAGGCACAAUGUCCUGGGUCCCAAUCCCAGCGGGACAUCAACUCAUGCCUGUGAUCUCAGAACUCAGGAGGUAGAGACCGGAGGGUCACAAGUUCAAGGUCACUUUAUAGUACUCAAGGUCACUUUAAGCUACAUAGUGAGUUUGAGGCUGGGAUGCAAGGGGUUCAUGAGUUUGAGGCUGGGAUGCAAGAGGUUCUAUCUUAAAGAAAAAUAGGGGCUGGAGAGGUGGCUCAGCAGUUAAGGACACUGGCUGUUUUUGCAGAGGACCAAGAUUCAAUUCUCAGCACCUACAUGGUGGCUCACAAACCUGUGUAAGUCCAGUCUUAUGCUUUCUUCUGACCUCCAUAGGCACUGGGCACACAUGUGAUGCACCUACAUACAGGCAGGCAAAACCCUCACACAUGUAAAAUAAAAUAAAUCCCAGAAAACUG